rnacentral:rRNA from 1 species
GACGAACCGUGCGAACGUUAUUCGGAAUCACUGGGCUUAAAGCGCGUGUAGGCGGAUGAGCACGUCUGUCGCUGAAAUCCCCCGGCUCAACCGGGGAACUGGCGGAGAUACGGCUCGUCUGGAGGGGCGUAGGGGGACCUGGAACUUCCGGUGGAGCGGUGAAAUGCGCAGAUAUCAGGAGGAACACCGGUGGCGAAGGCGGGUCUCUGGGCCAUUACUGACGCUGAGGAGCGAAAGCGUGGGGAGCGAACAGG